UAUUUUACUAAGGGUCCGUUUGUUUGGAAGUAAAACAUUUUCUGGAAAAAAUUUUCAGCCUUUUCCGUUGUUUGUUUAGUUGAAAAUAUUUUGGGAAAAUCAAUUACAAAACACGGGAAAAAAACAGCUUAAUUUUGGAAAAUGUCUUAUCGUUUCUAAUUCGGUAAGACAUUUUCAGGAAAAUUAGAAGCCAACACCGAUUUUCCCCUUCCCCUUCCCCCAUCCUUGACACCUGAUUUUCUGCUUGCCGUCAGCCAACACCGAUUCUCAACACCAGACACCGGCGUUCAUCAAAGCUUUUCCCCAUCUUUGCCUUUCGUUGUCAAAAUCUGCACUGGCGUUCAUCUUCCUCCCUCGAAGAUUCAAUCACAGUGCUUAUUGUUACUUCUUUUGGGUUAAAGUGAAGCAGCAUUGGUUAUGAUUUCUGGUUUUUGUUAUCUAAGAUAGAAUGAUUUUUGGAAAUGACUAAGGAUUUUGGGUAUAAUAGAGAAGAAGGAUAACUAGGAAAAACAAUACAACAUUCAACUUUAUGGUACCUGGUCUAGAUUGUGAAUACAUAUCAUUAUUCACCUAUUCAGCUAUGGGAUUAUGAAUAUGGAAUUGAUUCACCUAUUAAACUGGAUAUUCAGUACAGCUGCUGAAAAGAAUCAAAGUACUAAACCAACCAGCAUCGUUUGUGCUUAUUGGAAAGGAAAUGGUGCAAAACAAUGUUCUCAAUGUAAAGGAACUAGGGUUAAUUCAGUCGAUCACUUCAAUGGGCAAUUUAAAGCUGGUGGGCUGUGUUGGCUUUGCAGUUGUAGAAACUAGCACAUUCUUGGAUCCAAAGAAAGUACUAAAGUCAUUCAAGGAUAUAGGCAAUGGUGAUGCACUAAAAGGAAUAUGCACUACUUUGCAUUGUUAGUAAGCAAGGUACAGGAUGUUGUUGAACUUUGGCCUGCAAUGCAAUAGACACCAGCAGCAAACCAGCAUGCAGACCAGCAUCCAAGCUGAACCAGAGAAGCAACAACAUUUUGUUUAUUUUGUUCAUUUGUAACUUGAUUUAGUUCCUUUGUAAUUUAUACUUAAAGUUAGUAGGAGUAGUUUUUUAUUUAUGUUUAAUGUUAUAGCUGGUAUGUCAGCUACAUUUUGUGUGUAAUUUUAGCUAAGCUUUAGUCAUGUAUUAGUGGGAGCAGUUAUACAUUAGGUAACUGUCAUAUUUUAUUGUAACAUAAAUUCUUCUAAGUCAAUGAAAAAUAUCUAAUUUUUGGAGAUAAA